GGGAUUACAGGUGUGAGCCACCAUGCCCAGCCUCUACGGCCUUCUUGAAGUGUUAUGUGCUUAAGCUUGGGAGUCAGCCAGAUGUGUUUUCUAAUCUCAGCUCUUUCAUUUGCCACCUGGGGGGCCUUCAGGAAAACAAAUCUGCACAUUUUCCCAGAUUAAUACUCCUAAAGCACAGUUCUGAUGACAUUACAUCCCUUUUUUUCAGGCCUUCAGUGGCUUCUAGUACCAACCAAAUGCUUUACACACCCCUUGCCUUGGCGUUCAAAGCCUCCUAAUCUUUCAUGACCCCCCUGCGCAGGCCCUAAGUUUCUAGCGCGUUCAUCUCAUGAUAACAUGGACUUGCCUUGCUCUUCCCUGCUUCCCUGCCUUGCUCACGCUCUUCCCCUGGCUAGAAUCCCUUUUCUUCCUCAUCAACACGUGUUUACAUCCUUCUCAUCCUUAAGGCUCAGCUCAAUGCCACUUCCUCCAUGAUGCCUUUCUUCAUCUUUUUAUCCAGGCAGAAUCUCUACUUCCACAACUCCCUCAGUGCACCACAUCUCCUGCACAAUCUGCCAGGUGUGGCUCUGCAGCGCAAGCCUCUCCACUGGCCUCCUCCUCCCUUGGUGAC
rnacentral:lncRNA from 1 species